UUGUGUUGCUGUUUUUACAGGCAGUUAGCUGUUCAGCUCUGACAUGCUUCAACUGUCCUGGGAUUCGACAUCCACGAUUUUGUGAACACGUCCAAGAAUGCUCUGAUAAUCAGAUAUGUGGUGUUGAGCGAAUUACAGACAAAACAGGGGAGAUAAUCUACAAAAGCGGAUGUAUGA